rfam:Ictidomys tridecemlineatus contig009863, whole genome shotgun sequence.
UGGGGUGUGGCUCAGUGGUAGAGUGCUCACCUAGCAUAUGUGAAUCCCUGGGUUUGAUCCUCUGUACCACAU